rnacentral:rRNA from 1 species
CCUACGGGAGGCAGCAGUGGGGAAUAUUGCACAAUGGGCGAAAGCCUGAUGCAGCGAUGCCGCGUGCGGGAAGAAGGCCUUAGGGUUGUAAACCGCUUUCAGUAGGGAAGAAAAUGACGGUACCUACAGAAGAAGGUGCGGCCAACUACGUGCCAGCAGCCGCGGUGACACGUAGGCACCAAGCGUUGUCCGGAUUUAUUGGGCGUAAAGAGCUCGUAGGCGGUUUGGUAAGUCGGGUGUGAAAACUCUGGGCUCAACCCCAGAGAGGCCACUCGAUACUGCUAUGACUUGAGUACGGUAGGGGAGUGGGGAAUUUCUAGUGUAGCGGUGAAAUGCGCAGAUAUUAGAAGGAACACCAGUGGCGAAGGCGCCACUCUGGGCCGUAACUGACGCUGAGGAGCGAAAGCAUGGGUAGCAAACAGGAUUAGAUACCCUGGUAGUCCAUGCCGUAAACGUUGGGCACUAGGUGUGGGUCUCAACCAACGAGAUCCGCGCCGUCGCUAACGCAUUAAGUGCCCCGCCUGGGGAGUACGGUCGCAAGCUAAAACUCAAAGAUAGUCGCGNGNGAGAGCGACGACGACGACGACGGAGGAGAG